UCACUACUCCCUUCGUUCCAAAUUAUUCGUCGCAGAAAUGGAUGUAUUUAGAACUAAAAUACAUCUAGAUACAUCCAUACCUGCGACAAAUAAUUUAGAAUGGAGGGAGUACAAU
rnacentral:pre_miRNA from 1 species